rnacentral:rRNA from 1 species
UACGAAGGGGGCAAGCGUUGUUCGGAAUUACUGGGCGUAAAGCGCACGUAGGCGGAUUGCUAAGUCAGGGGUGAAAUCCUGGAGCUCAACUCCAGAACUGCCUUUGAUACUGGCGACCUUGAGUCCGGGAGAGGUGAGUGGAACCGCGAGUGUAGAGGUGAAAUUCGUAGAUAUUCGCAAGAACACCAGUGGCGAGGGCGGCUCACUGGCCCGGUACUGACGCUGAGGUGCGAAAGCGUGGGGAGCAAACAGG